AAGCCGGAAUAGCUCAG
rnacentral:tRNA from 1 species